UACGUAGGGUCCGAGCGUUGUCCGGAAUUAUUGGGCGUAAAGAGCUCGUAGGCGGUCUGUUGCGUCGGGAGUGAAAACUUACAGCUUAACUGUGAGCGUGCUUUCGAUACGGGCAGACUUGAGGCAUUCAGGGGAGAACGGAAUUCCUGGUGUAGCGGUGAAAUGCGCAGAUAUCAGGAGGAACACCCGUGGCGAAGGCGGCUCUCUGGGACGGUACUGACGCUGAGACGCGAAAGCGUGGGGAGCGAACAGG
rnacentral:rRNA from 1 species